rnacentral:lncRNA from 1 species
CAAACAGGUACUAGACAGGAAAUGGGUUAAGUCAGAGGAAGUGAGAUUAAGCAGCAAGGAAUGGGCCUUGCAAAAUCGAUAGAAAGGAAUGUGAAAAAGAAGUGACCUCAGGGGCAGGGUUGCAGCACAGGUGCUGGUGCAUGUGGUAGUCUUGGAACUGGAAUAAAUGCCAGACUGAGGAGGAAGCAACAGCAGCUGUGCAUUGGGCCCACAGAAAGAAUGGUUGAAGACUGCAGUGUAUUUUGAGUUUCUGCUUUGGAGGGGAGGGUUGGUCCUGAUGCCCACAGACGAAUGGCCUCCUGGUUCCAAUCAAGGCCAGCCCAAAAGUCUGCUUCUGGAACCCAAACCUAAGGGACUCAGCUAUGUUUGUGUUGACCUACUAUCAAUAAAGAAGAUCCUUAUUUAAGAACAGGCCACCUUCUGUUUUACACAUAUACUUUCUGACCCUAGAAAUUGUUCAGAAGGUGGAAUGUUUUGCUGUUUCAAUGAGAUCACAUGUGUAAAGGCUCUUUGUACACUGCAGGAGCUAUAGAAAUGUGAGUUAUGAUUGCUCAAAUUUCAUUCCCUUUGCUCUAAUUUUGAGUUAGGGGAGAGAAAGCCGGCCUGUAAAGUACAUAUCACAGUUUCUCUUUCUCAGCUUUCAACUGCAUGGGAGUUUGUAUUUCUGUUUCUACUACUCCAUUUCCUCUGCUGAUACCCUGCCAGGGAGGUGAAUGUAUCAAGUCAGGAAGUAGACUUCUCAGAAUAAAGAAUGCAGAAUUAGAAUGUUUAGUGCACCCAAGGUUAGGUGUAGAGUGUGUCAUAUGAAAGUAAUAGGUAUACUUUUUUCAUAGCAUUUAAUAUGCCUUUAUCCUUAAAUUUUUAAUAGGUUUUGAUAUAUCAAAGUAUAUAAAAGUAUACACUUUAUUAUAAUUGUCAACUGUAUUUUUGUAGUUUUCUUCUCUCACUUUUCAGAGAGGGGAGAAUUUAGCCCUUACUGUGAAAACAAAUACACAAGGAAGAAACAAGCUUAUUACAAACAAGAAUGUUCCUCUAUUACAUGUACUGAUCUAAAAACCUUAGUCUAGUUACUCCUCCUGAAGCUCAUGUUUAAUAUUUGGAAUAGAAAAUACUUUUCUAUUAAAAAAUCCAGAAGAAAUUAAGAUAUUGAUUUUUCCCCAUAAGAUCUCUGUUGUGGUGACUGCAGUGACUGUAAUAUCUUCUGUCGUUGCAUUUGUAAUGGCUUCAUCAAGAAUGAGAUUGCCUCCCAAAGGGUGGGUUAGAAGUUUCCCAUCUGCAGGCAUUGCUUGGCCAGCAUCUAUCCUCUAUUUCCACAACCCACCAUGUUUUUUGGAAUAAUAUGGGUGCUCUUAGUAACUCAUGCAAGGGUGGUCAUUUUGCUUCUGUAUGAUAUUGAUUCUAUAACUUGCAACCAGUGGCAGAGCUCAGUGGAGGACUUUCCACCUUCCACCCACCCUGCUCUUUUCUGGCCACAGCCAAGAGCUCCAGAUUACAGAGAUUCUGACUGGUGAAUUUGGAAGUAAUCACUUCAUUUCCCAGGAGGUCCAAUUCAGGAUAUACCUCUAGUUUAGAGUUGGUUGCGAGAGUUAUGCAAACCAACAAUAAAACUGGGAGACUCCAGACGCCAUUGCCCUCAAGGCCUUGGGCACAGCCCAGGGAGUGCCUGGCUGUGUGGACUUGGAGCCAAGGGCCCUGGGACUGCAUGCGACACCACUACUCAACACACAAGAGAUUCCCAGCUUAGCACAAAAUAGGUUUUUGUUUGAUUCCUUCCCAGUGUUUACCUAAUUUAAACUCUGUACUCUAAUUUGAACAAUUGUUAUGUUUGCUCUCAAUAAAUCAAAAUGAGAUGUUCUGAAUAAUCCAUUUGGUACCAAUGGAAAAAAAAACCCACUGUUGAAAUGUAUGAUUGUUAUUUUGGUGAAAACAUGAAGAAUAAAAUUAUUCUAUUUAUGACA